GACGAGGGAUCCUAGCGUUGUUCGGAAUCAUUGGGCGUAAAGCGGGUGUAGGCGGACUUAUAAGUCAGGUGUGAAAUCCCAGGGCUCAACCCUGGAAGUGCACUUGAUACUGUAAGUCUUGAGUGUGGUAGAGGCUAUUAGAAUUCCUGGUGUAGUGGUGAAAUACGUAGAUAUCAGGAGGAAUACCGGAGGCGAAGGCAGGUCUCUGGGCCACUACUGACGCUGAGAAGCGAAAGCAUGGGGAGCGAACAGG
rnacentral:rRNA from 1 species